rnacentral:lncRNA from 1 species
AUUUUGCAUCUUUCUAAAAUUUAAUCACACACAAGCAUUCUGGCAUGUGUCAGGCAACAGGUUUCAGGAAUGGCAUGGUCCCCUGUUGAGCCUUGCCUACACCCUCGGUUAUUGAAAAUGGUAUUGGAACAAGUAAUUACAUGGAGCUGGAGCGUCAAUUUGGGACUUGAUUUGUCAUCUUUUGGUUGAGGACCCACCAUUUUAUUCCCACACUUAUCAUUGGAAUUCUGGGAUGGUAGCUGUUGUUGCAGGACACUCUCCUUGGUUCGUUAGGGAAGUUCCAGAAAGCAGCAUUCCAAGAGCAAGAAUAUAAUUUGCCAGCCGUCAACACAAUAUAGAUUGUUUAACUUUGUUUUCUUGCCUUGGUGGUGAAACUGAAUUAUAUUGAGAUUAAAAAAAUUUUGAAGCUAUUUGCCUACUAGUGAGAAAACAUGUGAAGAGUUGCUGAAAUGUGUCAACAGAGCAAAAUGCAAAACAUGGAUUAAAUUCGAAAAAACUAAUUUGAGUUUGCAGUGGCAGAAAUUUAAAGUCUGUGCCAGGAUAAUGGCUAUCCAUGUUGAGAAUUUGAAUUGCAAAUUCUAAUUCUACCUAAAGGUAAAAGUAUAUAAGUACUUGUUGCCUAUAGAUUGCUCAAUGGGAAUAUAAGUUUGCAUGUCUUGAAAUUGGUUUUCUUCUUCAAUUAUAAAAUUCAAUACACAAAGAUAUAAAUGGAA